GACGAACGCUGGCGGCGUGCUUAACACAUGCAAGUCGAACGGAAAGGCCCUGCUUUUGUGGGGUGCUCGAGUGGCGAACGGGUGAGUAACACGUGAGUAACCUGCCCUUGACUUUGGGAUAACUUCAGGAAACUGGGGCUAAUACCGGAUAGGAGCUCCUGCUGCAUGGUGGGGGUUGGAAAGUUUCGGCGGUUGGGGAUGGACUCGCGGCUUAUCAGCUUGUUGGUGGGGUAGUGGCUUACCAAGGCUUUGACGGGUAGCCGGCCUGAGAGGGUGACCGGCCACAUUGGGACUGAGAUACGGCCCAGACUCCUACGGGAGGCAGCAGUGGGGAAUAUUGCACAAUGGGCGGAAGCCUGAUGCAGCAACGCCGCGUGCGGGAUGACGGCCUUCGGGUUGUAAACCGCUUUCGCCUGUGACGAGGCGUGAGUGACGGUAAUGGGUAAAGAAGCACCGGCUAACUACGUGCCAGCAGCCGCGGUGAUACGUAGGGUGCGAGCGUUGUCCGGAUUUAUUGGGCGUAAAGGGCUCGUAGGUGGUUGAUCGCGUCGGAAGUGUAAUCUUGGGGCUUAACCCUGAGCGUGCUUUCGAUACGGGUUGACUUGAGGAAGGUAGGGGAGAAUGGAAUUCCUGGUGGAGCGGUGGAAUGCGCAGAUAUCAGGAGGAACACCAGUGGCGAAGGCGGUUCUCUGGGCCUUUCCUGACGCUGAGGAGCGAAAGCGUGGGGAGCGAACAGGCUUAGAUACCCUGGUAGUCCACGCUGUAAACGGUGGGUACUAGGUGUGGGGUCCAUUCCACGGGUUCCGUGCCGUAGCUAACGCUUUAAGUACCCCGCCUGGGGAGUACGGCCGCAAGGCUAAAACUCAAAGGAAUUGACGGGGCCCCGCACAAGCGGCGGAGCAUGCGGAUUAAUUCGAUGCAACGCGUAGAACCUUACCUGGGUUUGACAUGGAUCGGGAGUGCUCAGAGAUGGGUGUGCCUCUUUUGGGGUCGGUUCACAGGUGGUGCAUGGCUGUCGUCAGCUCGUGUCGUGAGAUGUUGGGUUAAGUCCCGCAACGAGCGCAACCCUUGUUCACUGUUGCCAGCACGUUAUGGUGGGGACUCAGUGGAGACCGCCGGGGUCAACUCGGAGGAAGGUGGGGAUGACGUCAAGUCAUCAUGCCCCUUAUGUCCAGGGCUUCACGCAUGCUACAAUGGCUGGUACAGAGAGUGGCGAGCCUGUGAGGGUGAGCGAAUCUCGGAAAGCCGGUCUCAGUUCGGAUUGGGGUCUGCAACUCGACCUCAUGAAGUCGGAGUCGCUAGUAAUCGCAGAUCAGCAACGCUGCGGUGAAUACGUUCCCGGG
rnacentral:rRNA from 1 species